CCAGGUGAACGAACCCUAAUCCCCACCCCGCAGCCGCCGCCCGUCCUCCUCGACAUUUGCUUUCUCUUUUCUUCCGCCUCUUCUUAUCUUCUUGUUCGUUCCUGGUAUUAUUGAUGCGAUGAAGAGCUAGUUUCUAUUGAUCCGCCGUCUUCAAUGGCGGCGGCGUGAUGCUCACCUUUACUACUGAUGUGGCUGAAUGGAUAUUGCAGUGAAGUAACCGAUGGACUGUUAUUGCAGUUGCAAUUAUGUUAUUUUGUAAAUGCAAAUCAAGUGUUGUCAAAUUGUUGCAUUAGGUGGAAGUUGGGUGCAAUGUGCAUGGAUGGUAGGAAUCUGUUUAAACAUCACUUUCUUCAAGCAAUCAAUCAGUUUUGUACUAUGAUGAUCAAACUAAAUAGAACUUCAGUUCUUUUGCUUGAUGCGCUAUUGGUGCUGAAGCAAUUUGGAGCUAUGUAAAAACAGUUUUGGUUAAAUUUUCAUAUUUUUAGUGUAGUGUUGCAAAUGGAAAUGAUUAUUUUUUGUUGUACUCUUUUUGCAGUAUUUCUUUCUUGCGCUCCUUCACAUCUGUAAGAAUACCCUGACAUAAACAGUUUUUUUUUGCGGGUGGUAAGCAGUUUUUUUUAAACUGCACACAUUAUACUAAUUUAUAAAAUGGAGUCAGAAAGACCGACAUCAUAUAUGUUUCCAGGAACUUUAUAGAAAUAACAUCAGUUAAUAAAGAUUAUUACGAAUAAGUCAAACACCAGUGGUUGAAUCUAAAUUCUUCUGAUCUACAAAUUAGCUGAGGGGGUGGCUUUCCUUUCCUCACUGACGCUUGUCUAGUAGCCUUAAGAACAUUUUCUAUCUGUUUCAUACACAAUUUGGUUUCUUCUGGCGAAGGUCCCAGGAGAGAGGUGUUGAAUGAGUCUUAUCUAACAAAGUUUUAAUCUUCGCACAGUGAUGACACGCCGUGGAUUUUGUGGAUGUGUGAUAUUUUUGGUUCUGUCACAUCUGUUGCCACGGAUACAUCUUUAUCACAUUAGUAUCCAAAUCUUUUGUUUUUCAUCCGAGGGACCUAUGGAUGGACAGCUCCUCCCGUGCUGUGUCUACCAAGUUUGCCUUCGGACACUACAAAGCAAAUUGUUAUUCAAUCAUUUUGCUUCAAACUCUUUUUCUGUGAGAAGUUAACGUUUGCUGACAUUAGAUUUAUGUAUAAGCAAAUGAAUUUUUGUUUCUAAUUUUCAGUCUUACAGAACAAACCCAACGAGGGACGAUUCAGGCAGCCCCUUUGUCCAUUACAAUGGCAAUGGAGGUGUUGCGUUGCUCGGAGAGUAAAUCUUCUGCUCUUAAGAUUAGCUGAGGGGGAGGAUCUGCUUCCCUCCUUGAAGCUUGUCUAGUAGUCUUAAGAACAUCAACUAAUAUCCUUUGUAAAACAUUAUAGUUGACGGGCGACGAUUCAGGCAGCCUCUUCACCAUUGCAGUGGCAUUGGAGGUGUUGCGUUGCUCGGAUAGUAAACCUUUUGCUCUUCAGAUUAGCUGAGGGGGAGGCUAUGGCUUCCCUCCCUGAAGCUGGUCUAGUAGUCUUAAGAACAUUUUUAUCAGUUUGUUUCUCAUACCCAAUUUGAUUUUGACCUUUUUGUUUGUGAAAUGGUAGUUGAAUUCUUGGUUGGUGAUCCACGAAAACAAAUGAUGAUAGCAAGACAGGGACAUCAGAACCCUGAAUUUCAGGGUUAUGACAGACUACGUCUAUAAUGGGAAUCUCUCUGAUGUUUUUGAUUUCCCUAAGUUAAAUUGAUCUGUUUUUCUCCUUUUCAAUCAUUCUUCUUUGGAAUAUGGUUUUCUUUCUCUUGCAAUUCAAAUCCUGGAUGGCAAUGCUCAGCUCAUGGUCGGCCUCAUCCGCAACAUUGUGCAUGCAGCUAGAUUGAUCCAGCGAUAUAUAAAGCAGUUACACAAUAGGCAACUGAAGCUUGAUAACAUUUUCAUGAAUAUGAACAGACAUUUUUAAUCCAAAAACAAUUAACAUAUUGACCUCGCUCUACUUGAACAUGAUCUUUAUCCAACCCAAGGAGCUUCCAGAUGGCCUUACAAUGGCAAUGGCAAUGGAGGUGUUGUUGCUCAAUCUGAUAUUUUGGUCAGUUCAGUACGUGAAACAAAUCACUGAGAUCAACAUUAGCAUACAACUAAGGUUGAUUCAAAGACGCCACCUGUCUACAUCAUUUGCAACUGAAGCUUAGCAAAACCUGUGGAAUUUUAAGUGUCAGCCUUGUUUCAAAAAAAUACUAAUCUGUUGAAUGUUCUGGGGACAAUUUCUUUCUGAGAUUUUUUUUCUGUACUGGAUCUAAUGCUUAAAGCUGUCCGAUGAUGAUCAAACUAAAUACUUUCGUUCUUCUGAUGCGCUAUCUCAUGGCAUGGUGCGGAAGUAUUUUGGAGACCUGAACUGAGGAAAUGCUUGAUUAUAUUGUUCUUGCCUUCUUCAAGUUUUGCUAUUUUUUUCAUGUUUUUUCUGCUUGUAGUUUACGAUGGAAAAAAUGUUUUUCUGUUUGUUGCUUCACAACUGGAAGGAUGGCCUGUUGAUAACAGUUUGAUCAUCCUGUAGAGGGAAGCAUAGAUGGAUGGAAACACCGGUCAGCAUUAAACAGCAUGACGCUCUAUCAAAACCGCAUCAUGUUACCUGUCU